GACGAACGCUGGCGGCGUGCUUAACACAUGCAAGUCGAACGGAAAGGCCCUGCUUUUGUGGGGUGCUCGAGUGGCGAACGGGUGAGUAACACGUGAGUAACCUGCCCUUGACUUUGGGAUAACUUCAGGAAACUGGGGCUAAUACCGGAUAGGAGCUCCUGCUGCAUGGUGGGGGUUGGAAAGUUUCGGCGGUUGGGGAUGGACUCGCGGCUUAUCAGCUUGUUGGUGGGGUAGUGGCUUACCAAGGCUUUGACGGGUAGCCGGCCUGAGAGGGUGACCGGCACCAUUGGGCUGAGGAAAGGGCCAGGACUCAAACGGGAGCAAGAGGCGGGAAUAUUGCACAAUGGGCGGAAGCCUGAUGCAGCAACGCCGCGUGCGGGAUGACGGCCUUCGGGUUGUAAACCGCUUUCGCCUGUGGCGAAGCGUGAGUGACGGUAAUGGGUAAAGAAGCACCGGCUAACUACGUG
rnacentral:rRNA from 1 species